UUGUAGCCUACUUAUAACAUUGAAUAUAAUACGAAAGGCAGCGUACAUUCAGUUUGUUUUACUGAUGAGAGGAGAAGCCUGUUAACUCCGCAUAAAUGCAUUUAUUUGGUCUCGUUUAUAAAGUAUUUAACAUGUGUAUAUGUUUACAAUAACACAUGCAUAAAACAGAUUUACAAAAACAAUAUAAAACAAAUGAUUUAUCAAACAUACAUCUCUUCAAAAUUGCUGGUUUAGAUAUUCAAGAUAAGGUGAUGCGAACAUUUUUAUUGUUUUUAUUUUAUUUAUUUAUUUUUUUGUAUAUGUAUUUGUAUUUGUUUAUAUUAUGUAUAAAUUUAGCAUGUUAAUACUAGAAACUUUACUCCUUCAGCAGCUGAAUGUGAAAACAACCCUCUCGCGUGGUGUCAGGCUCAAACAUACAAGUUUACUCCUUCUUUGUCAGCUUCUGUUGGUGUCCCGAGCCUCGUAGGGGGGCACAUUCUCAGACGUAUUCUUUAGUGCUGCUCGGCGGACCGGAGCGGGAACUGGUCGCCAUGGACGGGUACUUGGACACCUGUUUCUUGCGUGGACAGGAGGCGGCCAACAUGGCUCCGCCCAGGACGUCUAGGAGGGAGCCGCCCCAGGCGAUGAAGAUUGCGGCACCAAACUCAAACCUGAGAGCCAGUUAGACCUCUAAUGUUGGAAUCGGUGCCAGGAGUGCUGGACUCAUCCAGUCUAAUGACCUCUGGAGGGCGGCAGCGGAGGAGUGGGAGGAAAGCUUUUUGGACUCGGGAUCAAACUUCCUCCUACCUACUGAGUGAUGUACGCAAGAUCUGAGCAAAACUGUGAUGAUGAGGUGAGCUUUGAUGAGAUGUUAUGUAACCGGGUCUGUAUUGAUUAUCAUAGGUCCCAUAGACGAGAGAUUAUUAGCAUAGGUCACAUACAGUGGCAUGUGCGGGAGCAACAGUGCAGGCAGUGACAAAUUAUAGAGGACCUAUUAUGCUGUUGUGCUUUUUCGCUUUCCUUUAGUGUGUUAAAAGGUCUGCAAAGUUAUAAAGUCCAAAGUCCAAGCCAAAGGGAGUUACUCUCCCCUACAGAAACACUGCUCC